rnacentral:tRNA from 1 species
GGCCUCGAUGUAGUGAGCCUGUCGACGCUUCAGGAACCUGGAAAUCUCCGCCUUGAUGGGAAGGUCGCCCGUUCGAAUCGGGCCGGGGUCACCA